GAUGAACGCUGGCGGCGUGCCUAAUACAUGCAAGUCGAGCGAACGGAUAAGGAGCUUGCUCCUUUGAAGUUAGCGGCGGACGGGUGAGUAACACGUGGGUAACCUACCUAUAAGACUGGAAUAACUUCGGGAAACCGGAGCUAAUGCCGGAUAACAUUUGGAACCGCAUGGUUCUAAAGUAAAAGAUGGCUUUGCUAUCACUUAUAGAUGGACCCGCGCCGUAUUAGCUAGUUGGUAAGGUAGCGGCUUACCAAGGCAACGAUACGUAGCCGACCUGAGAGGGUGAACGGCCACAAGGGGACUGAGACACGGCCCUU
rnacentral:rRNA from 1 species